GAUCAAGUGCCAAAAGGGCGUUCAGUGGAUGCCUUGGCGCACACAGGCGAUGAAGGACGUGAUACGCUGCGAUAAGCGUCGGGGAGCUGCGAAUAAGCUUUGAUCCGGCGAUUUCCGAAUGGGGAAACCCGGUCUUCGGACCAUCCCGCAAGGGAAGCGAACGCGGGGAACUGAAACAUCUCAGUACCCGUAGGAAAGGACAUCAAUUGAGACUCCGGUAGUAGUGGCGAGCGAACCCGGACCAGGCCAGUGGCAGUUAGGUAAGAACAGGAAGAAGCUGGAAAGCUUCGCCUUAGUGGGUGAUAGCCCCGUACUGGUAGAAAUCCUAAUUGUCCUCGAGUAAGGCGGAACACGUGAAAUUCUGUCUGAACAUGGGGGGACCACCCUCCAAGCCUAAGUACUCGUGUGCGACCGAUAGUGAACAAGUACCGUGAGGGAAAGGUGAAAAGCACCCCGACGAGGGGAGUGAAACAGUUCCUGAAACUGGAUGCCUACAAACAGUCAGAGCCCAAGGUUUGUCCUGGGUGAUGGCGUACCUUUUGUAUAAUGGGUCAGCGACUUAGUCUGUCGUGCAAGCUUAAGCCGUUAGGUGUAGGCGUAGGGAAACCGAGUCUGAAUAGGGCGUUAAGUACGACGGAUUAGACCCGAAACCGAGUGAUCUAGCCAUGAGCAGGUUGAAGGUGCGGUAACACGCACUGGAGGACCGAACCCACGUCUGUUGAAAAAGACGGGGAUGACUUGUGGUUAGGGGUGAAAGGCCAAUCAAACUCGGAAAUAGCUGGUUCUCCGCGAAAUCUAUUUAGGUAGAGCGUCAGACGAAUACCCUGGGGGGUAGAGCACUGGAUGGGCUAGGGGUCCUCACCGGAUUACCAAACCUAACCAAACUCCGAAUACCCAGGAGUACUAUCUGGCAGACACACGGCGGGUGCUAAGGUCCGUCGUGGAAAGGGAAACAGCCCUGACCUACAGCUAAGGUCCCCAAGUCAUGGUUAAGUGGGAAAGCAUGUGGGAAUGCUUAGACAACCAGGAGGUUGGCUUAGAAGCAGCCAUCCUUUAAAGAUAGCGUAACAGCUCACUGGUCAAGCGUUCCUGCGGCGAAAAUGUAACGGGGCUCAAACCAUGCACCGAAGCUUAGGGUGUGCAGUUUACUGCACGCGGUAGCGGAGCGUUCCGUAGGCCUGCGAAGGGAUACCCGUGAGGGGUCCUGGAGGUAUCGGAAGUGCGAAUGCUGACAUGAGUAGCGACAAAGAGUGUGAGAGACACUCUCGCCGAAAGUCCAAGGGUUCCUGCGCAAUGUUAAUCAGCGCAGGGUUAGCCGGCUCCUAAGGCGAGGCCGAAAGGCGUAGUCGAUGGGAAUCACGUUAAUAUUCGUGAGCCUGCUGGGAAGUGACGGAUUGCCAGAGUUGUGUGUCCUUAUCGGAUUGGACAUGCAGUGAGGCGGUUCCAGGAAAUAGCCCCAGCUUAUAGACCGUACCCCAAACCGACACAGGUGGACAGGUAGAGUAUACCAAGGCGCUUGAGAGAACGAUGCUGAAGGAACUCGGCAAAUUGCAUGCGUAACUUCGGGAUAAGCAUGACCCGUCUUUGGGCAACCAUUGGCGGGUGGCACAACCCAGGGGGUGGCGACUGUUUAUUAAAAACACAGGGCUCUGCGAAGCCGCAAGGCGACGUAUAGGGUCUGACGCCUGCCCGGUGCCGGAAGGUUAAAAGGAGAGGUGCAAGCCUUGAAUUGAAGCCCCGGUAAACGGCGGCCGUAACUAUAACGGUCCUAAGGUAGCGAAAUUCCUUGUCGGGUAAGUUCCGACCUGCACGAAUGGCGUAACGACUUCCCCACUGUCUCCAGCAUCGACUCAGCGAAAUUGAACUCCCCGUGAAGAUGCGGGGUUCCUGCGGUCAGACGGAAAGACCCCGUGCACCUUUACUAUAGCUUCACGCUGGCAUUCGUGUCGGCAUGUGCAGAAUAGGUGGUAGGCUUUGAAGCAGGGACGCCAGUCCUUGUGGAGCCGCAAUGUGAGAUACCACCCUUAUCGUCAUGGAUGUCUAACCGCGGUAUAACAGUACCCGGGACAGCGUGUGGUGGGUAGUUUGACUGGGGCGGUCGCCUCCCAAAGAGUAACGGAGGCGCGCGAUGGUGGGCUCAGACCGGUCGGAAAUCGGUCGUUGAGUGCAAUGGCAUAAGCCUGCCUGACUGCGAGACUGACAAGUCGAGCAGAGACGAAAGUCGGUCAUAGUGAUCCGGUGGUCCCGCGUGGAAGGGCCAUCGCUCAACGGAUAAAAGGUACGCCGGGGAUAACAGGCUGAUGAUGCCCAAGAGUCCUUAUCGACGGCAUCGUUUGGCACCUCGAUGUCGGCUCAUCACAUCCUGGGGCUGGAGCAGGUCCCAAGGGUACGGCUGUUCGCCGUUUAAAGUGGUACGUGAGCUGGGUUUAGAACGUCGUGAGACAGUUCGGUCCCUAUCUGCCGUGGGUGUUGGAAUAUUGAGAGGAGCUGUCCCUAGUACGAGAGGACCGGGAUGGACGAACCUCUGGUGGACCUGUUGUGGCGCCAGCCGCAGUGCAGGGUAGCUAAGUUCGGACGGGAUAACUGCUGAAAGCAUCUAAGCAGGAAGCCUCCCUCAAAACCAGUAUUCCCUAUCAGAGCCGUGGAAGACCACCACGUUGAUAGGCUGGGUGUGGAAGCGCAGCAAUGUGUGAAGCUUACCAGUACUAAUAGCUCGAUCGGCUUGAUCGUUCUCAUUU
rnacentral:rRNA from 1 species